GCGGGUGUAGCUCAAGGGGAGAGCAGAAGCCUUCCAACCUUACGACGAGGGUUCGAUUCCCUUCACCCGCUCCA
rnacentral:tRNA from 1 species